rnacentral:misc_RNA from 1 species
AAGUCGUAACAAGGUCUCCGUAGGUGAACCUGCGGAGGGAUCAUCUACAAAAAAAAUAUGAUGAUGAUGAUGAUGAUGAUGUUUAUUCAUCAUCAUCAUCAUUAUUCAUAUAUUAUCCAUUAUAGGAUGUUUUGGUGUUGUUAUUAUAUAAUAUUCUUAUAAUGUUGCAGGAUGGAAUUGUGUGUAUGUGUAUGUGUGUGUGUGUCGGUGUUUGUGUGUGUGUUGUAUGUGUGUUUGUGUUUUAAGGAGUAUUGUUACUCUUUUUAACCUUCCCCACAUACACUCUACUCUUAUUACUACCCAUCACUACACCAAUAAAAAACCAACCAGGAUCAUAAAUUCCAAACAAAGUUUAUAACUUUUGGCAACGGAUCUCUUGGUUCUG